rfam:Bacteroidales bacterium WCE2008 genome assembly, contig: Ga0070252_12
GGGGAUGUUUUGGUUUUGACAGCAUUGACUUUGGACAGUAAGCACGCCGGGCGCUGUGGGCCUGCCCGUAAAUCUCGACUCUCAAAAAUUCAGUUGGCAACAACAACUAUGCACUCGCUGCCUAAUUGACCAAGUCAUUUAGCUUAAUCCGCGUCGCCAAGGCUGCGACGCCGACGAGUAUCCCUCGGACUUUAGGCCGGUUAUGUUCCGAUCCAGGGGUAUCAUCCAAACCGGAUGCACAUGGGGACUCCUUUAAACCAUGCCAAGACUUAGAGGAUAAGCUGCGGUUAGCCCGUCUUCCGGCAGGCCGCUGACGAAAACCAAAGGAAGAAUAAACGUGUAGAAAGCUAUCUGAUACGGUGUUUGGACGGCGGUUCGAGUCCGCCCAUCUCCACGC